rnacentral:lncRNA from 1 species
UAGAACAGCCCCCUUCAUUUCCGAACAGAUGAACAAACACAGGGCUGAACGAAAUCUCUAUAUGACACGUGACACGAUGGAAAAGCUUUCCUGCCCGAACUUUGAAAAAUCAUGUGUGAAGGAAGGGGACUCAUCCGCUAAACCUUUUCCGAAUGUUCAUAUCUUCAGUAGAUAGACGAUUGUUGCAAGGAUUUCGUAAAUUUUUAAGAGACAUCGUUGAAUCUUAAUGAAAUCCUGUGGACAAGGUUCAAGCUUAUGAACUGUGUGCAUCAACUUGUAUGUUCUCGUCGGGCGCCAAU